rnacentral:rRNA from 1 species
GACGAACGCUGGCGGCGUGCCUAAUACAUGCAAGUCGAACGAGAGCGACCGGUGCUUGCACUGGUCAAUCUAGUGGCGAACGGGUGAGUAACACGUGGGUAACCUGCCCAUCAGAGGGGGAUAACAUUCGGAAACGGAUGCUAAAACCGCAUAGGUCUUCGAACCGCAUGGUUUGAAGAGGAAAAGAGGCGCAAGCUUCUGCUGAUGGAUGGACCCGCGGUGCAUUAGCUAGUUGGUGAGGUAACGGCUCACCAAGGCCGUGAUGCAUAGCCGACCUGAGAGGGUGAUCGGCCACAUUGGGACUGAGACACGGCCCAAACUCCUACGGGAGGCAGCAGUAGGGAAUCUUCCGCAAUGGACGCAAGUCUGACGGAGCAACGCCGCGUGAGUGAAGAAGGUUUUCGGAUCGUAAAACUCUGUUGUUAGAGAAGAACAAGUGCUAGAGUAACUGUUAGCGCCUUGACGGUAUCUAACCAGAAAG